rnacentral:rRNA from 1 species
GGCGGCGUGCCUAAUACAUGCAAGUAGAACGCUGAAGGAGGAGCUUGCUCUUCUGGAAGAGUUGCGAACGGGUGAGUAACGCGUAGGUAACCUGCCUGGUAGCGGGGGAUAACUAUUGGAAACGAUAGCUAAUACCGCAUAAGAUUGAAUAUCGCAUGAUAAUUGAUUAGAAGAUGCAAAUGCAUCACUACCAGAUGGACCUGCGUUGUAUUAGCUAGUAGGUGAGGUAACGGCUCACCUAGGCGACGAUACAUAGCCGACCUGAGAGGGUGAUCGGCCACACUGGGACUGAGACACGGCCCAGACUCCUACGGGAGGCAGCAGUAGGGAAUCUUCGGCAAUGGGGGCAACCCUGACCGAGCAACGCCGCGUGAGCGAAGAAGGUUUUCGGAUCGUAAAGCUCUGUUGUAAGAGAAGAAACGAGUGUGAGAAGUGGAAAAGUUUCAACAACUGGG